UACGAAGGGUGCAAGCGUUACUCGGAAUUACUGGGCGUAAAGCGUGCGUAGGUGGUUCGUUAAGUCUGAUGUGAAAGCCCUGGGCUCAACCUGGGAAUGGCAUUGGAAACUGGCGAUCUAGAGUGCGGUAGAGGGUAGUGGAAUUCCCGGUGUAGCAGUGAAAUGCGUAGAGAUCGGGAGGAAUACCGGUGGCGAAGGCGGCAUCCUGGACCGGCAUUGACGCUGAGGAGCGAAAGCCAGGGGAGCAAACGGG
rnacentral:rRNA from 1 species